GCCUGCUAGCAGCUAUUCGUAUGGUUCCUGUUCGUUUAUUUGAAGUGCUACCUUAUUCCCUUGGAUGCCGUUCGGGAGUUUGGAGCAUUCACUUACUGGCGGUUCGUGAGUUUUGGUGAUUCUACAGUAGCUGUGCCUGUCUCUGAAAAGGGGGAUUUUCGUCUAAGCGUUUUUUUCCCCUUUUGUGCAAAACGGUCCGUUACAAAUUAGUUCUCACAUCUGCCUCUCAGCAUUAUAUUAGCAUUGCAAAGAUUGUUAAAAAAUAAAAUAAUAAUAAUAUGCCUUGAUUUUGGAAGCAUGUAAGAAUA